CCAGACUCCUACGGGAGGCAGCAGUGGGGGAUAUUGCACAAUGGGGGGAACCCUGAUGCAGCGACGCCGCGUGAGCGAUGAAGGCCUUCGGGUCGUAAAGCUCUGUCCUCAAGGAAGAUAAUGACGGUACUUGAGGAGGAAGCCCCGGCUAACUACGUGCCAGCAGCCGCGGUAAUACGUAGGGGGCUAGCGUUAUCCGGAUUUAUUGGGUUUAAAGGGUGCGCAGGCGGCGUGUCAAGUCAGCGGUAAAAUGUCGGGGCUCAACCCCGGCCGGCCGUUGAAACUGGCGUGCUCGAGUUGGAGAGAAGUAUGCGGAAUUCGUGGUGUAGCGGUGAAAUGCAUAGAUAUCACGAAGAACCCCGAUUGCGAAGGCAGCAUACCGGCUCCACACUGACGCUGAGACACGAAAGUGCGGGGAUCGAACAGGAUUAGAUACCCCAGUA
rnacentral:rRNA from 1 species